GUAGCCAAGGAUGACUUGCCGGCCGAUGCUUCGAUGGAUCCCUCAUCCCCGUCCGGCCGGGAACGUCGCACGUAUGUAUGUAUGCGUGCAUAUGCUGCGAACUGUGAGGCAUCCAUAUCGACCGGCAGGUUCUUCUCUUUGGCUAC
rnacentral:pre_miRNA from 1 species